GACGAACGCUGGCGGCGCGCUUAACACAUGCAAGUCGUGCGGUGUCGAAGGCAAGUCUUACGACAAGCCUUCGACACAGCGGCGAACGGGUGAGUAACACGUGAGUAGCUGUCCUAAGGAGGGGGAUAACGCCUGGAAACGGGUGCUAAUACCCCAUAUGCCUCGCAAGAGGUAAAAGUGUACUUAUUACAGCCUUAGGGUGUGCUCGCGGCCUAUCAGCUAGUUGGUGAGGUAACGGCUCACCAAGGCUAAGACGGGUAGCCGGCCUGAGAGGGUGUACGGGCCACACUGGAAUUGAGAUACGGUCCAGACUCCUACGGGAGGCAGCAGUGGGGAAUCUUGGGCAAUGGGCGAAAGCCUGACCCAGCGACGCCGCGUUGGGGAUGAAGCCCUUCGGGGCGUAAACCCAUGUUGUAGGGGACGAAGAAAGUGACGGUACCCUACGAGAAAGCCCCGGCCAACUACGUG
rnacentral:rRNA from 1 species